CCAACAUAUACAGUCGGCGCUGCGUUUGAAUUUGAAAACGUUUCAGUCAGAGUUUCGAUGUGUUUCUUUGCCUCAUCUCACCCUGAAAUCACGAGUCCGCCAUGAAGUUUAAUAUGAAAAAGGCGAGACCGCUCUUGGCAUGGAUGAACACCAUGUUUCCAGAGAAGCAUGUCUGGGAGUUCGUUCCCAUGAGAGAUGGGCUUCGGCUCCUGAAGAUCUGCUUCAAACUAAGGGGAUCCGAGAACACGGAGGAUUUUAAGACUUUAUCACUUUACAAGAAAAUGGAGAUCAUUUUCAGUGUCUUGCAUGAUGAUUUUCACCUCACCAAAAGACAGAGUUCCCUCAUCUUACAGAGGAUCAGUGGAGGGAUUGACCUGGAGCUUCAGCUUGCUAAGGUGGCGCUUUUGCUUUGUUACUGCACUUUUAAGAAGGGCAUUCUGCUCCCAAUGGAUUCAGAUGUAGAGUCGGACGUUACAUCCAUGUUUCGUUUUGUAAAAGAGGAUGCUGAUGGUCUGUGUUUAGAGGAAGGCCUAGAUCAGUUUCUAGCCCAAGACUCUUUUAUGAACGUUGUGAACUCUAGCAGUGGAAGCAUUAGGAGCUCGCCGUUAUACACAGAUGAUGAGUCUCCGAUCGUAAACCGGUCCCAACGGCCUCCCAGAGUUCAGUUUCAAGAGCUUUGUACAGUGGCUUCCAGCUCGGACGGCUCUCCAGUGCAGGAUGUUAUGAGCACGCCGCAUUUCCAGCUGAAGAAACUCCGGAAGGAAUUGGCACAUGAGGGAGACGUGAGAGACGAGCUGGAGAAAGAACUGACCAAUCAGAUCUGCAUCAUCUCAGAGAAGGAGGGUGUGAUUUCACAGUUUCAGCACCGGGUGGAGCGAAUGCUGCGGGAACAAGGAGAGCUGGAGAAGGACCAUAAAGCUGCACUUCUGGAGCUCCAGGAGAAGAACGAGAGUCUUCUUCACAGAGUGCAUGAGGUUCUAAAGCAAUGCCAAGACUUAAAAACAGACAACUCCCAAAAAGAGAGAAAGAUUGAUGAACUGACAGAGGAGAAUGGAUCACUCACUGCACAGGUGCGCAAUGUCUUCGCUCAGCUGGCAAGCGCAGAAGAGGAAGUUGCCAAACUCACGCUGGCUCACGAAUCUGCACAGACAGAGUGGAAGAGCAGAAAAGAGUUUCUGGAGAAGGAGCUAAAUGAGGCCGUCACACACAAGGAGAGUAUGAGUGAGCAGGUUCAGAUACUUCAGGGAAAGAUCUCCGUUCUGGAAGAUGAACUUCAGAGAGCUCAAUCUCAAGAGAAAGGAGAGGUUUUGGGGCCCAUCAUGGAGUGGGAGAAGCUUAAACAGGAGUUGUCAGAUCUGACUCUUAAACUCGCUCAGCUUCAGGAUACGAUUUUCCAUCUUGAGAAGGAGAAGGUGGAAGUUGAGGCUUUGUUGACUGAGGAGAGAGGCUCUUUUGAAAAGGAAACCAAAAGACUCCAAAUGGUGGUGUUCGAUCUGGAGCAGUCCAUCAAUAGCAUCCGUUUGGAGAGAGAAACAUUGCAGGAGGCUUUACGGACACAGAAGGAAAUGCUUACCACACAGAUAUCAGCUCUGGAAAGUGAUGUUUCUCGCCUGCAACAGGUGGAAGUGGAGUUGACAGCAGAGAUCAAAAUCUCUGCAGACCUUCGCCAACAGAGAGAGGAGCUGGAGGGGAAGGUAGCCUCUUUAGAUAAGAUGGUUCAUGGUUUGCAUACUGAGAUCCAGGGUUUGGAAAUGGAAAGGGCAUCACAGCAGGAUGCUCUGAAUGCCCUUAUUGUUGACUUGCAAAGUGCAAGAGCCACAAUUCAAGAUCAUGAGAAGAAGCUGGAAGAGCAUCAGAAAGUGGUGCAAGAAAAUGAAUCUCUGAAAAAGGAAACAUGCACAUUGCAGCAAGGUCUUGAUGAGCAUCUGCAGUCCAUUGGAGACCUUCAGGAGCAAAUAAAUAUUCUCAGACAGGAGAAAACAGAGGAGGAGAACAAAGUUAGUCAGGCUUCAACCAAAAUCAAGAGCCUCCAAACACAAAUUCUGGAUCUGUCCCAACAGAUUUCCCUAAAAGAUGAGGAAAUCAGAAAUCUGAGGAGCGAGUAUGACAAUGUAGGGCACGAGCUGAGGCUUGUCAAGGAACAAAAUAUUGAAAUAAAUGAAAUGAUCAAAUCAAAUCGCAAAGAGCAUGAGGACACUGUUAAAAAACUUCAGCAAGAGCUUGACUCUGCUUCUUCACUUGCUUCAGAAAAACAAGAAGAAAUGCUGGUUUUGUCAGUGGAGGUAACAACUCUUAAAGAGCAGAUCUGUCGUUACAGUGAAAAUGAAGUGAAGAAACAGCAAGAAUUGUCUAUUUUAGAGGCUCAACACAAUGUGUUGAAGGAAAACAUGACUUCUAUUCAAAACCAGUUGGCUGAGGUGACAGCUAAAGCUUCACAGAAGGAAUCUGAACUCCUCUUGCUUCAACAGGAGCUUUCCCAUCAAGCGACCCUGAAAGAAAAAGCUCUGGAGCUUGAGGCAGUCAAGGGUGAAGAGUUUGAGAAAAAGUUGAGUGAGCUUCAGGCCAAAAUUGUAGAAGUCUCCACUCUUGCCUCUCAGAGAGAGGCUCAAGUAAUUUCCCUUCAAAAUGAGAUGAAGGAUCAACAAUUGUGUGCCAAACAGUCUGAAGAUGAUCUUCGCAGAGAAUUGGAGCAGAAGGUUGGCACACUACAAGGAGAACUGGAUACAGUCAAUCGUUGUGUUGUGGAUAAAGACAAACUGCUGGGCUCUUUGGAUCAAAAACUCAAAGACAUGAAAGGACUUUUCCAUCAAAAAGAGAAAGAUGUCCUUGAAAUGCAUCAGGCAAAGGAGGAACUGGAGAAGAGGAUCGUUGGGCUAAAUGUUGAGACGCAACAGCUUUCUGAGUGCCAGCAGAAUCUGGAAAUAUUAAGCAAGGAAAGAGACCACUUGUCAACUGAAGUGAUUUCUCUUAAAGAGGAAAUUCGUGGCUACCAGGACACUGAAGUACAGAAGCAACAGGUGAUAUCUGUUUUAGAAGUUGAACGCAACACGUUAAAGGAGAACAUGGCUGUCCUUGAGAAGAAGUUGGUGGAGGAAACAACUGCAGCUUCACAGAAAAAUUCUGAACUGCACCAGCAAGAGAGCCUUAGAGAAAAGGCUCAGGAGGUUGAGACUGCCAAGCGUGAGGAACUUGAGAUAACGGUUAAUGAACUUCAAGCUAAAAUCCUAGAGCUCUCCACACUAGCCUCUGAGAGGGAGGCUUGUGUUAAUUCUCUUCAAGAUCAGUUGAAUGCUAAACAGUCUGAAGAUGAUAUCCGUAAGGUGUUAGAAGAGAAAGUUGAAUCCCUUCAGGGACAACUGAAAACUGCCAGUCGAGACGUCUCGGACAAAGACCAGCUUCUGAAGACUUUAGAUCAGAAGCUGAAGCAAAUGGAUCUGCUGUGCCAGCAAAAGGAGAAAGAUGUCCAUCAGGUGAAGGAGGACUUGGAGAAGAAGAUUGGCGAGCUUGUUGUUGAGAAACAUCAACUGGUAGAGUGCCAGCAGAAUUUGGAAAUUGUGAGAAAGGAAAGAGACAACCUGUCAACUGAAGUAACCUCACUCAAAGAUGAAAUCCGACAUUAUCAGGAAAAAGAAGUGCAGAAGCAACAGGAGAUUUCUGUUUUAGAGGUUGAACGUAACACACUAAAGGAGAACCUGGCUACUUUCAAGACACAAGUGGCAGAGUUGACAACCACAGCUUCUCAGAAGGAAUCUGAGCUUCUGUUGCUUCGAAAGGAAGUUUGCGAACAAGAUAACCUUAAAGAAAAGUCUCAGAAGCUUGAGAAAGAUGUAAGAGAACUUCAAGCUAAAAUACUACAGGCCUCCACUCUUGCCUCCGAGAGGGAAGCUCAAUUAAAUUCUCUUAAAGAUGAAAUAAAUGAUAAGCAGUUAAGGGAAAAACAGUCUGAAGAUGAACUCUGCAGAGUGCUUGAAGAAAAGAUUGCAACCCUACAGAAACGACUAGAAACUUCCAGUUGUGACGUCUUAGACAAAGACCAUCUUUUGCAGUCCUUGGAGCAGAAGCUGAAACAAGUGGAACUGGUCUGCCAACAAAAGAAGAAAGAAGUCCUUGAGAUCCAACACUCAAAGGAAGACCUGGAGAAAAAGAUUGGUGAGCUACUUGAUGAGAAACAACAAAAACUGGAGGAGUACCAGCAGAAUUUGGAAAUGGUGAGAAAGGAAAGAGAAACCUUCUCAACUGAAGUCCUUGAGAUCAAACACUCAAAGGAAGACCUGGUGAAGAGGAUUGGUGAGCUUCUUGUUGAAAAAAGGGGGUUCCAGGAGGAUUUGGAAAUCAUGAGAAGAGAAAAGGACAACCUAUCAACACAAGUAACCUCUCUCAAAGAUGAAAUCCAAAGUUGCCAAAAUGAAGUGCAGAAGAUUUCUGUUUUAGAGGAGGAGAAUCAGGAACUCCUGGAGCAGCUGAAGACAAAGUCAGAAGUAGUAGAGCACUACAAAGCACAGGUGGAGAAGGCUGUGAGUCACUACAACAGUAAAAAGCAACUGCUGGUGGAGGCCCAGGAGUUGAAUAAAACUCUCGAGCACUCGUUGGAGGCCAGCAAGAGUGAAGUCAAAGUUCUGGAGACGAAACUGACACAGGCUUGUAUGGAACUCAACCAGGCGAGCACCAAGGAGAAAAACCUGUCGACCAAAGUGAAAAACUUGGAAGCACAAGUGGACUUUGCUGACAGGCAACUGCGAGAGCAGAAGAUGAUGACUAAUGACAAAGAGAACAUGAGACACCGAGACAGUCUGUACACCAGAGUCCAGGAGAAACAGCAGGACAUCAGUACAGACAGCUUGGAGUUUGAGCCGAACGAUUCGCUCAACGCUAACAGUCAUUCGUCUAUCCUGGGUGAAUCCAGCACUCCACUGGUACGUAGUUCUGAGCGUUUGGCUGCUAAACGUCGUGCCUUGGGGACUGAAUCCCUGGAGACUCUCUAUUUCACACCUAUGGGUCAACAAGACAACAAGCGUAAAGGGUACCAGAACAACGACUUUGAGCACAAACUAGCGUCCAGCAUCACUUCCAUUGGCGAUCUUGUGGUUGACUCUGCAAAGAAGCCCACUGCUUCGGCUCGCAGGCGUCGUACUACACAGGCUAUCAACAUCACCAUGGCUAAGAAAACAUCAGGAUGUGCCGAAGGCGAGGAGUCAUUUUAUAGUCUGCACUCUGCCCAAUCUCAGCCCAACUUGGCAGGCCAACAUUCACGGCCGUUCUCCAUGGACCUCUCAGAGGAAAAUGCUACAGCAACUUUAUCAAGAGCAGACACCCUUCAGCGUCUUCCCGGUUAUCGCAGAAGCACCGUGCACAAUGCUGGCCUGCCAGGAGCCACCAGUACGUUCUGUAUUGGAGCAGAGAAUGAACCUGAACAUGCUGCGGAGGACUGGAUGCGCAUCGCCGAGCUACAGUGGCGAAACCAAGCCUGUCUGCCUCACCUGAAGAGCAGCUACCCGCUGGAGUCCAGGCCCAGCCUGGGACCCUCAUUCACUAUAACGGAUGAGGACCUGCGAAUGGGUGACCCGAGUGAGACGAUCCGACGUGCGUCCAUGAUGCCAGGUCAGAUCCAGGAGUCCCUGAACAAUCGCCGCUUCUCCCUUGUGACAAGUUCGAGCCAGAGCUCUGCCAACUCCAGGCCCCAGCGUGCCACCAUGCUUCCGGGUCAGAUCCAGUCCAGCACUGCUGCUCACCGGCUCACAAAAACAAGCUCAAACCUACGUGCUUCAGAAAAUAAACGCAGCCCGCUGGCUCCCAAACGCCCCGGCUCUCAACUACAAGCCCCAGACACACCUGAGAUGAAGAAGAUGACAAGUUGCUUUCCGCGACAAAUGACACCUAAAAGCAUGUUCGGCAGCAGUCAAAACAAGCCUCCGAAGUCGCCGGCCGAACGAAGGCAAUCUGUGAUGUUCACGGUUGUAAAUACUCCAAAGAACAGCAGUCGUGGUGACAGCAGGCUGCAGCGUGGCCUCAACAAGCUACGAAACAGCGCUCGCAAAUCUCCCGCCGUGGCCAGUUGUGCCCUGCGUUCAGCUGCGGGCGCCAAGUCUCCUCUGGACUCCACUCUGAGAAAGUCUCCCCGAAACAAAUCCCCCAAAUCCUCCAAUGCCAAAAAGGUGUAUUAAAAGCAUUUGGUGUGUGUUUAGGAAACACAGUGACUCGCUCCGCUGAAGUAUUUAACUACGAAGAUCAGGAUUAAGCUGUAAAUUUGAGGAUUUUUAAAUCCAAAACCAUCCGUGUCCUUUUCUUUAUUUUAUUUGCUUUGCUUUUCUCUUUUCAAAUAAAUUAUUUUUUAUUAUGGGAUGCAGUGGUCUUAAUUACUGUCUUGUUUAUGCAACUGGCUGUAUGAUAUUUAAGUGUAUUCCUUGUUCUGUAAUAAAGUCUAUUAUAUUAA